CAAGAGUCUUACAUAUCAUAGCACUUUAUAAUUUAUAAAGCCAUCACAUACGCAAUCAGUCAUUUUAUAUUCAUAAUAACUGAAAGAGCUAUGUAGGACAUAUUUUUUAUUUUCACCUUUCAGAUGAGAGAUCUUGGACAUCUUGGUUUGCCCAUGGUGACAAACAGGGAUUUCUGCCACCCUCUCUGCUUGUAUUACCUAAUUGUAGCCUCAUGAUGGAUGCACUGUGAUCCUGUUAACAGGAAGAUACCCAGUAGCGGGACUGCUGUAUCAAAGGGUGGCCCACUCUCACCACUUCUCUUCAACAUAGUACUGGAAGUCCCCGCCCGAACAAUUAGACAAGAGAAAGAAAUAAAGGGCAUCCAAAUCUGUAAAGAGUAAGUCAAACUGUCACUGUUUGCUAAGGAUAUGAUCAUUUACCUUGAAAACCCUGAGGACCCCUUUAGAAAGCUUCUGUAACUGAUAAAAUAAUUCAACAAAGUUUCUGGAUACAAGUUUAAUGUACACAAAUCAGUAGCUCUUCUAUAUACCAACAGUGACCAAGCAAAUAAUCAAAUCAAGAACUCAACCCUGUUUACAGUAGCUGCAAAAAAAUAAAAUAAAAUACUUAGGAAUAUACCUAACCAAGGAGUCGAAAGACCUCUAUAAGGAAAACUACAAAAUACUGCUGAAAGAAAUCAUAGAUGACACAAACAAAUGGAAACACAUCCCAGGCUCAUGGAUGGGUAAAAUCAAUGUUGUGAAAAUGACCUUACUGCCAAAAGCAAUCUACAAAUUUAAUGCAGUCCCCACAUACAAUUUAAAGAAUAUAAAUUUCAAACAAGAAGUCAUGAAAGUUCCUUAUAGGGUUCAGCUUGUGUCCAUUUUCAGUCUCCAAAAGAAAAAACAAAUUGCCUUAAAUCAGGAAAAGAAUAAAGGAUGAAAAUGGUGAAAAAUUUAAAUCAGAGAUAAAACAAGAAUUUAUUCCUUUUAUACAAAUUGCCUUCCAACUUUACCAAAGUAGUUGUUUUGGUUUGGAACAUUCAUGUGGUUUACAACAGAAAGAGACUAAGUCUUAAAGGAUUUUAUCUCUCUUUGGUGUUUAGUUCCUUAUGGGAAUUUCCUACUAUUUUUAUUCUGCAUAUUGUCCUGUUUAAUGAUUGUGUUCAUUCGCUUCUGGCUUUGAAUAAAGCUCUAUUCAUUUCUAUUUCCUUCAUUUCCCUGAUUCCAGAAAUACUAGUCUUCAUAUAAAGAAGAAGACAAUUAAAUGACUCCUAGCGUAGGGGACAUGACAAAGGAUUUGCAUAAUUGUGUGCACGUGGUUCUCAAUUGUUGAUCUUGCUCUGACCCACUAUGUUAUAACUCAAACCGACAUACUGUGUGGAAAGCUAUAAAAUUUCCUAUUAUGAGAAAAUGAAGGCUUAAAUCAACAUACACUUUUUCCAUGAUGAAUCUAUUAUUUAAAUCAAAAUGUAUUGAACAUUAUUCUUAAAGUAGCUCAUUCAACUCAUUUUAAACAAAUUUUAUUAUCAGUUUAUUCCAUGCAAAGAAAUGAACUUCAAGGAUAUUACAGUUGAGUGAUUUCUACAAAAAGAGAUUUUCUCCAUGUAUUUUUGUUUGUUUUUGGGUUUUCUUGAAAUUCUAUUAAAACUGGUAAGUUCUAAA
rnacentral:lncRNA from 10 species